rnacentral:rRNA from 1 species
GACGAACGCUGGCGGCGUGCUUAACACAUGCAAGUCGAACGGACGAGUGAGAUAAGUUUACUUAACUCACAAGUUAGUGGCGGACGGGUGAGUAACACGUGGAUAAUCUACCUGCAACACCGGGAUAACGCUGUGAAAACGGUGCUAAUACCGGAUACGUUCCCUUGUGCGCAUGUAUGAGGGAAGAAAGCUCAGGCGGUUGCAGAUGAGUCCGCGGCUGAUUAGCUAGUUGGUGAGGUAAAGGCUCACCAAGGCGAUGAUCAGUAGCCGGCCUGAGAGGGUGAACGGCCACACUGGGACUGAGACACGGCCCAGACUCCUACGGGAGGCAGCAGUGGGGAAUCUUCCGCAAUGGGCGCAAGCCUGACGGAGCAACGCCGCGUGGGUGAAGAAGGCCUCGGUUGUAAGCCUGUCUUAUGGAAGAAGUCAGUGACGGUACCACGUAGGAGGAAGGCCGACGGCGUAACUAACGUGGCCAGCAGCCGCGGUAAAAGGUCACG